AGGUUGACCUCGGAUCAGGUAGGGAUACCCGCUGAACUUAGCAUAUCAUUAA
rnacentral:rRNA from 1 species